GCAGGCAUCUGAGGAAAAGCUUUCUUGGAGCAUCUGUGGCCCCCCAUUUGGGCCUAGCAUCCCCACCCUGUGACAUGGAGAAGCCCUAGGCAGGGAUUGUUCUGGGAUGCUAUGCAGCCUUUUCCAUGGAGAUGUCAAUCAGGAUCGGGAUCAGUGUUGAUUGCAUGCCCUGAUGUGCUGGACAUGUCAUGGGAGUUAACUGCUUAAGUCACAUUUCAAGGAUUGUCUGCACUUAAAGGAUGAGCCGAUUGAGGUCCAGGGACGCUAAUCAUGGAGAAUUUACAAGUCAAACACUGGACUCUCUGAUCUCAAUUCCUUAAAAGUCACAGUGGAAGAUGAUGUUUAGGCCACAGACAGAUGGCUGCCAGCCCUGGGCAUGCGGGGAGUGUCUCCAUCACUAACCGUGGAGGGAGCUCAUACCCACUCAAUGUCAUUUCCACAGCUGCCUCCUGCUGGAUAGAUAACUGGGGUCUCUAGAGCUGGGCCAUCACCACGAUCUCUUACCUCCCUGCCAGGCUCUAUCCUGAGACCCAGAAACUGUUCUGGGAUGUUCCCUGGGCUCCUCUCAGAAUUCUGCCUCUGCACCAGUCACUGGAAAUGUGCAGUCGAGUGCAGAUAGCUAUGGCCAGUGAGUCUCACUGUGAAGGAAUGGGGCUCACUCUGGUGGAUGCACCACAGUCUCUUGCUGAUACACAGGUUCUUGCUUGGCCCCAGGAGGAAUCCACCAGGAGUGGAAUUGCUGCGUCACAGGAAGACCGGCCUUCAGAGAAAAAUGGGUUUGAUCUGAAGUCGCCCUACUGUAAAGUGACAGAAAGCAACGGAUAUUUGUUUAAACAGACUCAGCCAAGUAAAACAUCCUUUGGGCAGAUUCAGCCGGCUGGCGGCCAGCUCAGCUUGGGCUUGACCUUCUCUAUGAGUCCUAAUAGCCUACGAUUGAUUACAUUUGUAUUUUGUCUUGCUCUUAAGCCUUUAUAACUUUUUUCUUUAUAAAAGAACUAUAAUCCCAUUACCGAAAAUUCAGAAAGUAGAGAAAAGAAAAAAAAAAAAAUUGGCCUCUUCAAGCAAACACAUAGUAUCUUUGCAUCUUUUGUUCUAGCUCUUUCUCCCUUGUGCAUAUGUGGUUUUUUGUUUGUUGUUUGU